AACGAACGCUGGCGGCAUGCCUAACACAUGCAAGUCGAACGAGACCUUCGGGUCUAGUGGCGCACGGGUGCGUAACGCGUGGGAACCUGCCCUUAGGUUCGGAAUAACUCCCCGAAAGGGGUGCUAAUACCGGAUAAUGUCUUCGGACCAAAGAUUUAUCGCCUUUGGAUGGGCCCGCGUUGGUUUAGCGAGUUGGUAGGGUAAAAGCCUACCAAGGCGACGAUCCAUAGCUGGUCUGAGAGGAUGAUCAGCCACACUGGGACUGAGACACGGCCCAGACUCCUACGGGAGGCAGCAGUGGGGAAUAUUGGACGAGGGGCGAAAGCCUGAUACGGCAAUGCCGGGUGAGUGAUGAAGGCCUUAGGGUUGUAAAGCUCGUUUACACGGGAUGAUAAUGACAGUACCGGGAGAAUAAGCGCCGGCUAACUCCGUG
rnacentral:rRNA from 1 species